GACGAACGCUGGCGGCGUGCUUAACACAUGCAAGUCGAACGGAAAGGCCCUGCUUUUGUGGGGUGCUCGAGUGGCGAACGGGUGAGUAACACGUGAGUAACCUGCCCUUGACUUUGGGAUAACUUCAGGAAACUGGGGCUAAUACCGGAUAGGAGCUCCUGCUGCAUGGUGGGGGUUGGAAAGUUUCGGCGGUUGGGGAUGGACUCGCGGCUUAUCAGCUUGUUGGUGGGGUAGUGGCUUACCAAGGCUUUGACGGGUAGCCGGCCUGAGCGGGUGACCGGCCACAUUGGGACUGAGAUACGGCCCAGACUCCUACGGGAGGCAGCAGUGGGGAAUAUUGCACAAUGGGCGGAAGCCUGAUGCAGCAACGCCGCGUGCGGGAUGACGGCCUUCGGGUUGUAAACCGCUUUCGCCUGUGACGAAGCGUGAGUGACGGUAAUGGGUAAAGAAGCACCGGCUAACUACG
rnacentral:rRNA from 1 species